GCCCACGGAGCUCUAAUGGUUAAGCGCCAGGCCUUCAGCCUGGUGGUUUGGGUUCAAUUCCCAACGUGGGCU